UAUUUCCGAGAAAAUAAAUAAAUAAAUAGAUAAACAAAUGACAUUAUUAAAUCCAAGCAUAGUUUGAUAGCGUUCUUUUAUAGCUAACAACCAUUCAUAUUUAAAAUAUUAACACCCAAGUAUUUCAUUAAGACCAGAAGAAAAAGUAUUAACCCUCAAGUAUUCAUUCAUUGUAUUUCACUCUCCGAAUACAUAUGAACUUGAUCAAUGAAACAAUCUUACAUGCGGUAUCAUUAGUAUCACAUAGAUAAUUGUUUUAUAGAUCACUACAAAUAGACAUGCUUACACAACAGACAACUACACAUCGAAGAUGCAUCCAACCAUGCUACAUAGAGUGAUCUGACAAGAGAACAACUCGCUAAAAAUAUGAACUAUUAGUCCUCCAUUACAUCUUCUUGUUAUGAAGACAAAUACUACACCAAUUAACAAUAGCACUGUAGGAGUGCCACAUGUGCAAACCCUCUUAAGUCCAAUUAGAAAAUGGCACAUAUCAUAGAUAAGGUAACAUGGAGUUAUGUGCAAGAUCACGGAUGACUCGAACAUGCCGAUGCUGCAUAUUGUAUGAUGUCAAUCUCUUAUCCUGCCUCUCCGUGAAGAAGAUCGAGUUACAAUACAGGUGAAUGGCCACCAGUCCAAAUCUCACUUGAAGGUCAGAUAGCUAAGGAAGAAAAAAAACUAGGAAAGAGAAAAUGGUGGUUUUGCUGCUAUGAUACACUGCUGAAAAACAUAGAUGUCGCCGGGAUGAUGGAACUGCUGUAGAAGCAUCCAGCGAGGGUUUGGGGGAACUUCUGGCAGUGCUCUCGAUAGAAAUGAGAUUUUCCCAAGUCUUGGAGACACUCUUGAAGCGGUAGUACGGCUUCACCUAAACGCGUGACAGUAUCUCUACCAGGAGAUUGUCGGUGGGACUGGCCGACCGAUACCUCAGUUUCUCACUCGUGAGGGGCAUCUUCCAGCCAGCAGUAGAGGAGGAGGAGGGAUCUGCAGCAGAAGACUACAUGUAUAUAGUUGUAUACACAUGCCAACAUUAACCAACUCCGGUCCUUAGUCAAACUACAACUCCGACUGGAUCUCUAACAGUGAGAAACUUUUGAGACAAAGCAGAGGACGGAUUCCAAGCCGAACACUAUUGAAACAAAUAAAUGGGCGGUUGUCAUACCAAGCUUUUGUUGUCAAUUCACUUUUGUAGAUUUUCUUCAUUUCUAUAUAUACUUUCC
rnacentral:lncRNA from 1 species